CCUACGGGAGGCAGCAGUGGGGAAUUUUGGACAAUGGGCGCAAGCCUGAUCCAGCCAUGCCGCGUGAGUGAAGAAGGCCUUCGGGUUGUAAAGCUCUUUCAGUUGGGAAGAAACGAUUGCAACUAAUAAUUGUAAUUAAUGACGGUACCGACAGAAGAAGACCCGGCUAACUACGUGCCAGCAGCCGCGGUAAUACGUAGGGUGCGAGCGUUAAUCGGAAUUACUGGGCGUAAAGGGUGCGCAGGCGGUUUUGUAAGUCAGAUGUGAAAUCCCCGGGCUUAACCUGGGAAUGGCGUUUGAAACUGCAAGGCUAGAGUGUAGCAGAGGGGAGUGGAAUUCCGCGUGUAGCAGUGAAAUGCGUAGAUAUGCGGAGGAACACCGAUGGCGAAGGCAGCUCCCUGGGCUAACACUGACGCUCAUGCACGAAAGCGUGGGGAGCAAACAGGAUUAGAUACCCUGGUAGUCCACGCCCUAAACGAUGUCAACUAGUUGUCGGGCCUAAUUGAGGGUUUGGUAACGUAGCUAACGCGUGAAGUUGACCGCCUGGGGAGUACGAUCGCAAGAUUAAAACUCAAAGGAAUUGACGG
rnacentral:rRNA from 1 species